ensembl:snRNA U6 U6 spliceosomal RNA
GUGCUCAUUUUAGCAGCACAUAUACUCAAAUUGAAACAAUGCAGAGAACAUUAGUAUGACCUUUGUGCAAGGAUCAUAUACAAAUUUCUGAAGCAUUCCAUAUUUUA